AGAGUUUGAUCCUGGCUCAGAACGAACGCUGGCGGCAGGCUUAACGCAUGCAAGUCGAACGCCCCGCAAGGGGAGUGGCAGACGGGUGAGUAACGCGUGGGAAUCUACCUAGUUCUACGGAACAACUGAGGGAAACUUCAGCUAAUACCGUAUACGCCCUACGGGGGAAAGAUUUAUCGGAAUUAGAUGAGCCCGCGUAAGAUUAGCUAGUUGGUGGGGUAAUGGCCUACCAAGGCGACGAUCUUUAGUUGGUCUGAGAGGAUGAUCAGCCACACUGGGACUGAGACACGGCCCAGACUCCUACGGGAGGCAGCAGUGGGGAAUAUUGGACAAUGGGCGCAAGCCUGAUCCAGCCAUGCCGCGUGAGUGAUGAAGGCCUUAGGGUUGUAAAGCUCUUUCAGUGGGGACGAUAAUGACGGUACCCACAGAAGAAGCCCCGGCUAACUUCGUGCCAGCAGCCGCGGUA
rnacentral:rRNA from 1 species